UGCAACCAGAAUCACCUCAUUGUCUGUCAGUUUUAGUGCUUCCUUCUCCUGCUGUUUCGCAGUGCCUGGCGGGAUCCCCGAAAUACUCUUUCCUGUUCAUUCUUUCUUCAUUUGUAGUUAGUGAACUCCCAUAAUGCAGCAUGAAAAAUAAAAGUCACUCUUGGCCAUCCAGACUUGGCUUUUAAACAAACGCCAGCCACAAAGAGGAGAUUACUUAUAACAAAAGCAGCGCCCAUUUUGUGUGGUUUGUUGUUGAUUCUCCUGUGCCUGUUGAGUUUCUUGAUAGGGCUGCCUAUGUUUAGGUACAUUUAUGACAGACAAAUCUCUUGCGGUCAGCACAAAGCUGGUGGGUCCCUACUGCUCGCUUACUUAAUCCACUGCCUUAUAUAGCAACAGCAAAAAGGUGACUUGCUGGCACAAGAGUUUUCAGGCCCCCUUUUAUCAGUGAGCCUCAAAGCUGAGUGUAUUUUGAUCCCUUUUCCUAAAUUUCCCUCACCGAACCUACACAUACAGCUACUGCUGCCGUCACUGCUGUUGCUCACCUGCCUUUCUCUGGCUCUUUUCACCUGCAUCACAAACACCAACCCCUUGAAGGAAGAAAUAAGCAGUGCUGCUGGUGCGGCCUAGAGCUAGAAGCACAAGGAGGUCUCACCCACCUUAGAUUUCCCAUGGGAAAGCUUCGGCACCACCAGGUCUUUGACCCUCUUACACCUGCGAAGUGGUGGUCAGGAACCACCUCACUCGAGCCCCUCCAGCAACUCAUAAUCCCUUUCCUGACUGAGUGAGGUCAGCACAAGAAGCUCGAGGUCCCACAUCACAUGGAUGUGCUGUGGAAGAAACCAAACAGGAGCAAAGACGAUGCAGCGCCCAAGUGGUUUGGAAAGAUGAGUAGAGCCAGGGUGAGGUCAACUUUUUUCUGCUAGAUUGUAGAGGGAUUAAGAUACCUGGCAUUUUCAGAGCUACACUGCAAAACUCAUUUGGGAUUCCCAUGCAGCUAAGAUCACCAGACACCUGUGUUUCUGCAGCAGGCGAUUUUCUGCGCUCGUUACAGAAUCUGCUCAAAACCUGCCGCCUCCAGUUCACGCUGACGGAUUGUUUAAGACAAAGCUUUCUGAACAAUUUUGUUACUGGGGUACAAUGCUCUCCUGAAGCUGAGUAUUCCUGAGGUUGGGAAUGCACAACUGUGGCGUGCAACAUGCACAUCCAGAGAUCUCUAUGUUUUUUUUUUUCUCCUUCCUCUUGAGCAGGUCCCUCCAACAUAGCUUAGACAACGAGGGUUUUGCAUACACUCCACGAGGACAUGAUGUAAAAAGCUGAUCUGGUCUGUGGGCAUGGCUUCUUUCCAUAUACACCGCACCAAAUGUUUCCUUGAUCAGCUGUACUUUCUUAUGUAAGCAGUGUCAGCUCUAGCACGGUCACACAGAGAUGAGCAAGGAAACAACAAGCUCUAGAGCCAGACCUGCUACUUUCGCCCUCCAUUGGACAGGGAGGCACAACAGUCAGCGUAUACAAGUAACUGGGGCUUGAGGAGGAGAGGAAGGAGAGCUGGCGGCUGGCGCAAACAGCAGCCACAGAAGGGGCCUGCUCGGAGCAAGAUGCUUCGAGCCUCGUAGCCAAACACGUUGCUCUAACUCUAGGUCAACAACUGUGUGCGCGCUGCAUUCCUGAGCUGGCUUAAAUUCAAUUGGUCAAAUAUUUUGAGUGCACAUUCUCACCACCUGUUCUGUGAUAAGGCAUAGGUCCUCCUGGCGCAAUUCAACCCUCUGCUUGAUGUUGUAGCCUGUGAAUAACAUCAUUCUUGAUGUUAUUCUGAGCAAAUUAAACAACUUAUCUUACGAGUAUUUAUUUAGGAUGAUUAGUACAACAGGACUAGUGUCAAAUCAAGACAUCUUGCUGUUUGAACAAUGUGGGGUCUGCAGGUUGCCUGCCUCCAUAAGUUGCUUAAUACAUGCACUCUAGCAAUGUUCAGAUCUUUCGUCAUGCCAACACGUAUUAAACAGGAUUGUGUUUCCCUGUUCGUGGAUCAGUAAAGUUAUCUCAAGCUAUAUAAAGAAAUAUUGUGAGCGCAAAAUCCUCAGUUUAUCCAGUGCAUCUACUUGGCAUUUGAGGAGAUUUGCUAUUAACUAAUACCCUAUUUCUGGACAACCUAGCCAGAACAUACACCACCGCUGAAUCCUGUAUCACAUAAGGUCUAUGCAGACUGUCACGUUGCUAUGUUAACAGAGUUUGAAGCAGGUAUGUAGAGGGGAAAUGGGAAUCAAAAGUCCGUAGGGACUUUUACUUUCAAACUAUAUUCUUACUAUUAUUCACAAAAGUUUUAGAGCUUACUAGGAUCCAUCUGCGCCCAUCAGCUCCCCCGCCCGCAGCCUCAGCCUUGCGUGACUCCUGUUGUGAAAUGAGCCGUGCCGCCAAGCACGAGGAAACAGGAACCCAGGCAUCAGCUCGUAACAGUAGUUUUCCACUCAUCAUAUUCCAGUACAGUUUGAAAAGUUUACAAUGAUUAAUGUCAGCCUGAGAACAGCGUUGAAGCCUCCGAACAUUUAAAGCUAUGGUAAGUUUUUAUUUUAUGCCAUCUAUUUCGGAAGUUUAGAUCUCAGUAUCAGAACAUCUCCCUGCUUAUCUGCAGAGCCCAUGGCAAAAUUUGAGUGUAUUGUGAGUAUAUGAAACGUCGUUGCUGCCCUAAGCGUAGUUCAGAUGAACAUGUGUCGCAGCAGCAAUGCUCCCUGCUGCCCAUGGGGCCUUUGGGCACUUCCUGCUGGGGGCUCCCUGGCAGGGGUGAAGCACUUGACAUGCUACUCCACAGCUGAAGAUGCUAACCCUGUCGCAUCACACUUGUGGUUCUCGAUGAGAAUCAAAAACCUUGAACAAAAGUCUCUCUCUCUCACCCUGCCCAGAGUUCAUCCCUCUAGCGACCCGCCUGCAGCAGGAGGUCUGAACCAGCAGUCUGGGCCCUCCUCACCCCAAAAGCAGAAGUUGAGGUUUAGGCACCAAUUUUCCUAAAUCUGAAUGGGAGGGAAGCAUGGCAUUGUCUGGCUUGUAAAAAGAGGAUUCACCCAGACCAGGCAACUAUAUCAUCUAUGUUUCCUUCUAAGUUGUUCUCCAAAAUGUUUAUGAACUUGUUUUAAAAGCCUGAUCCACUCGCUGUCCUGAACUUAAACACUAGUUAUGCCUUAUGUGACUGCCACUCGGUUAACCAUGUAUUUACCAGUACACAUAGGUAUUGCACAGGUAUUCACACCCUACCCAGCUUGCUGACAAUCCAAACAGUGAUUUGUUGUCCAAUUUUCAGCUAAUGCAGAGCACCACUUCUACAAAGGUCAUGGUAAUGACACCACCACCAGGACUAUGUCAGAUUUAAAAUCUUACUAAUCUUAAUAGCUUUAGGGAAAACAGAUAGAGAUAAGCAGAUUUCAUGACAAGAAGCUUGGAAAAAAAGGAACAUGUGUUUGGCCAGAUCAGGUAAUAUCAGCAGUGAGAUGCAUGUAAGUUUUGGGGGAAAUCUUCCUCAUUUAUCCUUCUCUCCUUGUACAGCGGGGAAAAAAGUAUUUUUUCCCCAAAGGUAAAUGACUUUCAGAAACUUUUGUUUUAGAAAUCCAUAAAAAUACCCAUUACAUACAAAGAAUGAUUCUUACUGAUCAUUGUUUCCUGUAAAAAAUAUCCUAACUCAUAUUUUGUGCUGUUUCUAAGAGUUUUUUAAAAAAAUAUUGCAAGUUAGCUGACUUUGAGUCCUGAAAAGAGGUACUUAAAGACUGAACUUCAACAAGAUAACAUGGAUUGGGUAGGUGCAAACAGAGGCCCACUCAAAUACAUAUAACAUACCAACUGCAAGAAGAUAAUUGUAAAGACUUCAGUGUCCCCAAAGAGUUCUUUACCCAGGCUGCACUUUGGCCCUCACAUCUUUCCUUCUUGUCAGACAAGUGAUAGAUGGAGCCCUGGGGACAGAUAAAAAGGCCAGUUUAAGCCUUGUGGGAUGCCACCUCCAUGAAAAUACGUACUGGGACCAGAGUUGGCUUAGAAAAGCCUAUGAAAAGGUUUCUAUGGGUUUAGUGGUUUCCUCUCAGUGCAAUAGGUACUGCAGCAGCCUGACCAUAGCCAUGAUUUUUUAAAGAUUUAAAUAAAGCUAAGUUUGAAAGGAACAAGCGUGUUGGACCAAAAUACAUAGUUGAAGGAGGGUUGGGCACAUGCACCCCUCCCUGCACCCCCUUGGACCUGCAGUAAUAUGUGCGGUACCAACCUUCAUACUCUGAAGGCUGCAUGUGCUGAUCAGACUUCUGUGUAAAUCAGAUGAUUUAUAGAGAAAGCUGAAGUGAUUUCCUGGCAAAAAAAGGACCAUCAUGUAUUGUCUACAAGUGACUGUCUCCUAAAGCAGCUUUUAAUCACAUAUGAACAGCCAACUAUUGUUUUAUUGAUCUUCAACAAACGGUAAGUGUUUGUGGUCAAGAUGGGACUGCUUCAUUAUGUCUUUGAAAAGGAUUGUGCCACUUUAAGAACCAAGUGGGAGGUGAUACAGGCACUACUGUACAAACAGUUACCUGUGCGGUCUGCUGCGCUUGCCUUGGAGACUCACGCCGUCUGUGGCGAGCGCUGCUCUCAUCGCCUUCGUUUUCUCCAGCAGGUCGAACACCACCUUCUCUAACACGCUCUUGCUACCUGACAGCCAACGAUGGAAGCCCAUGCAAAGCAACCCAAUUUCAUCUGUGAGAUUUGCACGGCACCUCUAGGACACUAGGAAGCCAGAAUUUAAGGAAGGGAGGUGGUGCUGCUGCUCUCAUUCCCAGUGUUAUCAGGCUGCUGUGGGUAACAGGGAAGGUUCAAACUCUUGACAUUGAGGAAAUCAUGGUGGAAACGAUCUUGGCACCAUGGGAAAUACUGCUGGUCAUUCUUGCUGCA